rnacentral:lncRNA from 1 species
GAACAAUAAUGGAGGAGACAAUAAGUGGGGCCAGACGUGAUAUAAAGACAAGUAAUAAAAACGUGGACGACAUAAAAUGGAAUCUCUGCACCAGCCAUGUGAAGAUGGGGCCCAAUGAAGUACCCUACAAGGCUAGAAGACAAAGAUUUAUAAAAAUUUUUGAAGUCCGCAUUUCAGAUUCGCUCAAAAAAUCAGCUAUAAAAGGCAGACUAAGGAGAAAGAAAGAUCAUCGAGAAAAAAGUAGAAAACAUACUGAAAAGCCUCAACCAACUUUCCAAAAAGAAUCCCAAACACCAAAACCACUUUGUAAAAUAUUCCCUUUAUGAAUAUCUUAGUAAUUAUUCCUUUAAGCUUGUAAAUAAAUAAAGUUUGUAUGCUUAGGUGUUGAUCGUAUUUUUAAUCCAGAAGUCCAGCAAAACCUUUUUCGGGUUUCCCGAAAGGGAAAUUCCAUCUCUUGUAAACAUGUAAGUUACUAUGUUUAUCUAAGUUAUGUUCUAAG